ACGUAGGACACAAGCGUUAUCCGGAAUUACUGGGCGUAAAGGGCGUGCAGGCGGUUGGGUAAGUUAGGCGUGAAAGACUUCGGCUAAACCGGGGGAGGUCGUCUGAUACUGCUCAACUUGAGUAUGGUAGAGGCGUGUAGAAUUCCAGGUGUAGCGGUGAAAUGCGUAGAGAUCUGGAGGAAUACCGGUGGCGAAGGCGGCCCCCUGGACAAAGACUGACGCUCAGGUGCGAAAGCGAGGGGAGCAAACAGGA
rnacentral:rRNA from 1 species